GCCAGCAUGGGGGGUAUGAACCUCGGCUUCUAACCGAGUGGGCUCGGGUUCGAAUCCCGAAUAAGGCA